UAAAGUAAAAUGAUUGUAUAGUUGAAAAAAUUGACAAAAACCUUCACCAAAAGUUUUAACCAUGGUAUAUUUAGUGUUCACCUUCGUAAAGUGAACUUGUGGAUGGGUAAAUCAAGUAAUUUACACUUUCACACCUACAGUCUUGCUUAGUUCCAACAGGUUAUAUUUCAUGUUAAAAAUUGUGCUAGUCAACAAUGCUUUUCUCCAUAUUCCUAUUACUUAUUCCGUUAUGGAUUUCAAAUCUGAGGUGUACUAUUUUUUUUGUCUGACACAAGUCAA